GGGGCCGACCUGGCUUCGACGUGGGUCGCAAAGCGGUGAAGUGCAUACCGAGGACCAGUCCCCUCGUAAAUCCACUGGAAACUAACAAACGCCAACGACGAGCGUUUCGCUCUGGCCGCUUAAGGCCUAAGCCGCUGCACCGGCAUGUCUCUGGGCCGGACUCGGGGCAACUCGAUUGCAGUGUCAUUCACAGGGAAUCGUGAGGCGUCGGGUUACUUGACGCCAAACUAAAUCCAAGGUGACUCGCUGGCGGUCGGCCUGCCUGGUGGCUAAACCGACGGUUAAAUCCAAAUUGCCAGGCUAAGUAUGUAGAGCUUCCUGUGGAGGGCUUGCGGACGGGGGUUCGAUUCCCCCCGGCUCCACCA
rnacentral:tmRNA from 1 species